rnacentral:rRNA from 1 species
UUUGUUAUAAAUCGCAAGGAAGUUUAAGGCAAUAACAGGUCUGUGAUGCCCUUAGAUGUCCUGGGCUGCACGCGCGCUACACUGAUGCGUUCAUCGAGUUUAUCCUUGGCCGAGAGGUCUGGGUAAUCUUUAGUACGCAUCGUGAUGGGGAUCGAUUAUUGCAAUUAUUAAUCGUGAACGAGGAAUGCCUAGUAUGCGCAAGUCAUCAGCCUGAACUGGAUUACGUCCCUGCCCUUUGUACAC